CAAAGGAAGAAUGUUCCACAAAAUGAAUUCCUUUUACAUUAUUUGUGUCGCUUUCAAAAAUGAAAUUGCACAUCACUAUUGUAGACAAUAAAAUGUACAUUAUUAGCCUUACUAUCAACAUUUAUAUAGCUCCAGCAUAUUCCACAGUGCCUUACAAUUAUAGAAAUUGGAUGUUUAGAGGUACAGAGUGCAACGCUUCAAAU